CGGGACUGUCGCCGCCGCAGAGGGCUUCGGCCCCGAGGCGGGCGGAGGAAAGUCCGGGCAACACAGGGCACCGUGCUUCCUAACCGAAAGCGACCGGCAACGGUCGGUGACUGCAGAAGAAAACAACCGCCCCCCCGGGGGUAAGGGUGAGAAGGUGAGGUAAGAGCUCACCGGCGGCGAAGGCGACUCCGCCGGCCGUGCAGACCACGGGUUGCAAUGCCAAGUAUACCGGCGACACGAGGACGGCCCGUCCCAUGCCGGAGGGUAGGCAGCUCGAGACUGUGGGCAACCGCAGUCCUGGAUAAAUGACAGUCAGUGGCCCAGGCCACCACAUAACCCGGCUUAUACGCCCGA
rnacentral:RNase_P_RNA from 1 species